CGCCAGCCUGAUGCAGCCAUGCCGCGUGUAUGAAGAAGGCCUUCGGGUUGUAAAGUACUUUCAGUCGUGAGGAAGGCGGUGUCGUUAAUAGCGGCAUCGUUUGACGUUAGCGACAGAAGAAGCACCGGCUAACUCCGUGCCAGCAGCCGCGGUAAUACGGAGGGUGCGAGCGUUAAUCGGAAUUACUGGGCGUAAAGCGCAUGCAGGUGGUUUGUUAAGUCAGAUGUGAAAGCCCGGGGCUCAACCUCGGAAUAGCAUUUGAAACUGGCAGACUAGAGUACUGUAGAGGGGGGUAGAAUUUCAGGUGUAGCGGUGAAAUGCGUAGAGAUCUGAAGGAAUACCGGUGGCGAAGGCGGCCCCCUGGACAGAUACUGACACUCAGAUGCGAAAGCGUGGGGAGCAAACAGGAUUAGAUACCCUGGUAGUCCACGCCGUAAACGAUGUCUACUUGGAGGUUGUGGCCUUGAGCCGUGGCUUUCGGAGCUAACGCGUUAAGUAGACCGCC
rnacentral:rRNA from 1 species